UAUGGGUUGUGGGAUAUAUGGGAUAUAUGGGAUGUGGGAUAUGGGGUGUGGGGUGUGGGAUGUGGGAUAUGGGGGAUCCCACAGCCCUGCUAUGUCCUGAUCGACCUGUAUGGGCAGUGCCAGCAGGUGACGGUGGUCUCUGAUGGGGACGAGGUCGGGGCGGCCCGCGCCCGUGGGGACGUGGAGAAGGCGGACGUGGUGGAUGGGAUGAAGGAACCGCGCUGGGCC